rnacentral:tRNA from 2 species
GGGGAUGUAGCUCAGUGGUAGAGCGCAUGCUUUGCAUGCAUGAGGUCCCCGGUUCGAUCCCCGGCAUCUCCA